rnacentral:rRNA from 1 species
GACAGAGGGUGCAAACGUUGUUCGGAAUUACUGGGCGUAAAGCGCGUGUAGGCAGCUGAGCAAGUCGGAUGUGAAAGCCCUGGGCUCAACCUAGGAAGUGCAUUCGAAACUGCUGAGCUAGAGUUCUGGAGAGGAAGGCGGAAUUCUCGGUGUAGAGGUGAAAUUCGUAGAUAUCGGGAGGAACACCGGUGGCGAAGGCGGCCUUCUGGACAGCAACUGACGCUGAGACGCGAAAGCGUGGGGAGCAAACAGG